rnacentral:rRNA from 1 species
AGAGUUUGAUCCUGGCUCAGGAUGAACGCUGGCGGCACGCUUAACACAUGCAAGUCGAGCGGAGGGAGAGGUGCUUGCACCUUGAACUUAGCGGCGGACGGGUGAGGAACGCGUGGGUAACCUGCCCUAUACAGGGGGAUAACACAGAGAAAUCUGUGCUAAAACCGCAUAAGCCUACAGUACCGCAUGGUACAGCAGGAAAAAUUCAGGUGGUAUAGGAUGGGCCCGCGUCUGAUUAGCUAGUUGGAGAGGUAACGGCUCACCAAGGCGACGAUCAGUAGCCGGUCUGAGAGGAUGGACGGCCACAUUGGGACUGAGACACGGCCCAAACUCCUACGGGAGGCAGUAGUGGGGAAUAUUGCACAAUGGGGGAAACCCUGAUGCAGCGAUGCCGCGUGAAGGAAGAAGAUUUUCGGAUUGUAAACUUCUAUCAGCAAGGAAGAAAACGGACAGUACUUGACUAAGAAGCCCCGGCUAACUACGUGCCAGCAGCCGCGGUAAUACGUAGGGGGCAAGCGUUAUCCGGAAUUACUGGGUGUAAAGGGUGCGUAGGCGGUAUGGCAAGUUUGAUGUGAAACCCACAGGCUUAACCUGUGGCUUGCAUCGAAAACUACUGAACUAGAGUGCAGGAGAGGAAAGCGGAAUUCCUAGUGUAGCGGUGAAAUGCGUAGAUAUUAGGAAGAACACCAGUGGCGAAGGCGGCUUUCUGGACUGCAACUGACGCUGAGGCACGAAAGCGUGGGGAGCAAACAGGAUUAGAUACCCUGGUAGUCCACGCUGUAAACGAUGAAUACUAGGUGUUGGGGCCAUUAGGCCUCGGUGCCGCAGUUAACGCAAUAAGUAUUCCACCUGGGGAGUACGACCGCAAGGUUGAAACUCAAAGGAAUUGACGGGGGCCCGCACGAGCGGUGGAGCAUGUGGAUUAAUUCGACGCAACGCGAAGAACCUUACCAGGUCUUGACAUCCCUCUGAAUACUGUAGAGAUACGGUAGGCCUUCGGGACAGAGGAGACAGGUGGUGCAUGGUUGUCGUCAGCUCGUGUCGUGAGAUGUUGGGUUAAGUCCCGCAACGAGCGCAACCCUUAUUGACAGUAGCCAGCAGGUAAGGCUGGGCACUCUGUUAAGACUGCCGGGGAUAACUCGGAGGAAGGUGGGGAUGACGUCAAAUCAUCAUGCCCCUUAUGACCUGGGCUUCACACGUGCUACAAUGGCUGUCACAAAGAGAAGCGAAGCUGCGAAGUGGAGCAAAGCUCAAAAAGGCAGUCCCAGUUCGGAUUGCAGGCUGCAACCCGCCUGCAUGAAGCUGGAAUCGCUAGUAAUCGCGAAUCAGCAUGUCGCGGUGAAUACGUUCCCGGGCCUUGUACACACCGCCCGUCACACCAUGGGAGUUUAGAGCACCCGAAGUCAGUGAGGCAACCGCAAGGAGCCAGCUGCCGAAGGUGAGCUAAGUAACUGGGGUGAAGUCGUAACAAGGUA